CGUAGGGUGCGAGCGUUAAUCGGAAUUACUGGGCGUAAAGCGUGCGCAGGCGGUUUUGUAAGACAGAUGUGAAAUCCCCGGGCUCAACCUGGGACCUGCAUUUGUGACUGCAAGGCUAGAGUACGGUAGAGGGGGAUGGAAUUCCGCGUGUAGCAGUGAAAUGCGUAGAUAUGCGGAGGAACACCGAUGGCGAAGGCAAUCCCCUGGAUCUGUACUGACGCUCAUGCACGAAAGCGUGGGGAGCAAACAGGAUUAGAUACCCUGGUAGUCCACGCCCUAAACGAUGUCAACUGGUUGUUGGGUCUUUACUGACUCAGUAACGAAGCUAACGCGUGAAGUUGACCGCCUGGGGAGUACGGCCGCAAGGUUG
rnacentral:rRNA from 1 species